rnacentral:rRNA from 1 species
GAUGAACGCUAGCGGCAGGCCUAACACAUGCAAGUCGAGGGGUAGCAGGAUUAAGCUUGCUUAAUUGCUGACGACCGGCGCACGGGUGCGUAACGCGUAUGCAACCUACCUUAUACUGGGGUAUAGCCCGGAGAAAUUCGGAUUAAUCCCCCAUAGUACUAAUGAAUCGCAUGGUCUAUUAGUUAAAGCAUUGCGGUAUAAGAUGGGCAUGCGUCCUAUUAGCUAGAUGGUGAGGUAACGGCUCACCAUGGCUACGAUAGGUAGGGGGCCUGGGAGGGGGGGCCCACACGCGGGUACUGAGACUCGGACCAGACUCCUACGGGAGGCAGCAGUGGGGAAUUUUGGACAAUGGACGCAAGUCUGAUCCAGCCAUGCCGCGUGCAGGAUGAAGGCCCUCGGGUUGUAAACUGCUUUUGUACGGAACGAAAAGGUCUCUCUUAAUACGGGGGGCUCAUGACGGUACCGUAAGAAUAAGCACCGGCUAACUACGUGCCAGCCGCCGCCGUAA